rnacentral:lncRNA from 1 species
AGCCGGCGGCACCAGGCGCCUUCAUCAUGGCGCCGGCGGCGGCUGGGGCGGCUGCAGCAGGCCAGAGAAAGUAGGCGCCCACGGCGCCCCCGAUGACCAUCGCCGCGGUCCCCACGGCACCGUCGCGCGUGGAGAGCUUUGCAGGCAGGUACGGUUUGGCCAACGAGAUGGUGGAGGCCAUGGCCGCUCCUGUAUGGUUCUUGACGUAGCCGAGACCGGUGACGAUGUCGCCUGUGCUCAUCUCGGUUAGCUUUGCGGGAAGGUACGGCUUGGCCAACGAGACUGUGGAGGCCAUGGCCGCUCCUGUAUGGUUCUUGACGUAGCCGAGACCCGCGACGAUGCCACCCGUGUUCAUCUCGGUUAGCUUUGAGGGGAGGUACGGCUUGGCCAGCGAGACGGUGGAGGCCACGGCGCUCGCCUGUUGCUUGACGAGGUCGAGACCGGAGAAGAGGAGGUCGCGGGUGCUCAUCUCGCCUGGUUUUCCUUUCCGAUUUGUGGUCGUUUGUGUGGACUUAUACCUCACUA